UAAAAUUGCUGUUUUAUAACUCUAUGGGACUCCUCUCUUUUAACAUGUUAUACUACAUUUUUAGAGAUCAAUAAGUUUUUAAGUAAAGUAAAUAUAAAGAUUUUAUAAUUUCACAUUUAUACAGCUUGAUAUCCUUUAUUUAUCUAUCAUUCUUAAAGCAAAUGACAAAUCUAGUUUUCAAAGAUGAAAGCUUGCUGUUACUGAGAUCUUCGAUGUUUUCUGCAACUCCAAAUCCAGGAAUGUUUCACACAAUCACAGGAUUUUCCUUUUUAAGGUGAUUACUCUUAAUGUAUACAUAUAUACUCAUUUGCGUAUGCUUGCCAUACAGUGCACUUACAGUCACUAACCUCCUAACUGAUGAAGCAGGAAUCAAGUCUUUCACAUGACUUCUAGUUAUAUCUCUUCUAAG